rnacentral:rRNA from 1 species
UACGAAGGGGGCUAGCGUUGUUCGGAAUUACUGGGCGUAAAGGGCGCGUAGGCGGCCCGCUAAGUCGAACGUGAAAUCCCCGAGCUCAACUCGGGAACUGCGUCCGAUACUGGCGGGCUUGAAUCCGGGAGAGGGAUGCGGAAUUCCAGGUGUAGCGGUGAAAUGCGUAGAUAUCUGGAGGAACACCGGUGGCGAAGGCGGCAUCCUGGACCGGCAUUGACGCUGAGGCGCGAAAGCCAGGGGAGCAAAGCGGG